rnacentral:rRNA from 1 species
AUUCCAGCUCCAAUAGCGUAUAUUAAAGUUGUUGCAGUUAAAAAGCUCGUAGUCGGAUUUUGGCAUCACGCCGAACUGUCUGCCGAUUGGUAAGUACGGUUUGGCGGGUGCUUCCUUCCGGAGGCUCGUUCCCUUCUUCAUUGAAGGGUUCGUUGGUUCCGGGUCUUUUACUUUGAGAAAAUUAGAGUGUUCAAAGCAGGCCUAUGCUCUGAAUAGGUUAGCAUGGAAUAAUAGAAUAGGACUUUGGUUCUAUUUUGUUGGUUUCUAGGACCGAAGUAAUGAUUAAUAGGGAUAGUUGGGGGCAUUCGUAUUUAACUGUCAGAGGAGAAAUUCUUGGAUUUAUGAAAGAUGAACUCAUGCGAAAGCAUUUACCAAGGAUGUUUUCAUCG